rfam:Xiphophorus maculatus strain JP 163 A Contig250.32, whole genome shotgun sequence.
AAAACGGCCCUUUUAAGGGCCAAACACAUUUCUUUAAGAAGCUG